AUAGAAUAUAUAACAAGUAACAUAACAUCAACUAAGAACGAUUUUGUUCAUUUCACUCGCUCACUCAAUCGAUAAACCAUAAAGACACAAGGUUGAGGAGAGGAAUAAAACCAAUUGACCUACACCUGUGCUAAACAAGGUUAGUGGGGCGUCUCACCGCCCUUACAGAUUUUUGCUUCUUUCUCACCGUGCCGGUCAAAGAUAGACAUGUGCCGGGAAUUGCCAGAGGUCAGGC
rnacentral:lncRNA from 1 species